GGCAGCUGGUGUCUGGGAGUCCACAGAGAAAGGCGUUGGGUGGGAAUGCAGCUGGUGUCUGGGGUCCACAGAGAAGGUUGGGUGGGAAGGCAGCUGGUGUCUGGGGUCCACAGAGAAAGGGGUUGGGUGGGAAGGCAGCUGGUGUCUGGGGUCCACAGAGAAAGGCGUUGGGUGGGAAGGCAGCUGGUGUCUGGGGUCCACAGAGAAAGGCGUUGGGUGGGAAUGCAGCUGGUGUCUGGGGUCCACAGAGAAGGUUGGGUGGGAAGGCAGGCGGUGCCCGUGGUCCACAGCAGCUGAGCCCUCCUGCCUCACCCCUCAGAAAGCAGCAGAUCUGAGGCUCUGCUCAUGUCCAUGUCACCCCUCUUCCUGGGCACACAGGAUGUCUACACCUCCAAGUUUCCCGGGCAGUGGAUUGGGGUCUGAAUCUGACUCUGACUAACGGAACACUGUGGUCUAGCCCAAAGUGUCCUGCACAGUUUUCAUGGCCACGCUAAUUUCUGGAAGACUCAGAUUCCACAGGGCAAGGCCAUGCACUGAAGGGGCUGCCCAGCUGGCAGUAAGCUGUGACGUGAGUAAAGAAUAAACUUUAAUCAGGGUUCUGCUUUCUGAGUUCAUUUCUGAAUUCAUGUUUUAAACAGCCUAGUCUAUUCCAACUAGUUCAGACAUGGCCAUAUUUACAGGCGUCGGAAACGUUCUCUUGCUCUCAGGUGGCGGUUUGCACUGCUCCUUUUAUCAGUGCUCACAGUAACCUGAAUUGCCACCCUGCAACCCCUUGAUUUGUAACCCCGUGACCUUGGAAAGGUGGCAGAUAAAUUUACUGCAAGCACCGAUAAAAGUAGAAGUGGGGGCCUUCAUGACCACCCCAUUAUGUCUUCAAUGGAGAUCAGAGCUCCAGGUAGAAUAUAGAAAUAAGAUCUUGGCUAAAUGGGUCUAUCCACAGAAUAAACCCCACCUACCAAGUGCACCUGUUUCUGAAACUACCAGCAGGACCACCUGACCCUAAAUGAGUGAUGUUUAAAGAACGGUUCCGGGACCACCUCCAUUAGAACCCCCACCCUUGCUUUUCUUUCUAUAUGGGGCUCUGAGGAUCUCCGUUUGAGACCUAAGGUGGGGGCCUUCAUCACCACCCCGGUAGCUAAGAUGCCAUCUCUUAUCCUACCUGCUUCGGUUAUACUUACUCAUAUUUUCUGUAAGAGCAAAUCAUCAGUUGCAAAUCUGUGACAAGGUAUUUUGAAGACGUAUCACUGAAAUAGAAUUUAUGUUGCCUGACAGUAGUUGCAAUUAAGUAAGAGACAAAACAACACAAACAAAAGGACUUUGACCUCCUAUGCUGUCAUAAGUUCUGAAUGGAUUCUUUGCCUCAACACACCCAGGAAAGUGUUAGUGGUCCGUGACAAAGACGAAAUGGGAACGGGUAUAAAUUUUAUGUCUAUCAGAAAACAGCAAAGUUCUUGCUUCUCUUUUUCAUUGAGAGAAAUAUUUUUUUUCCUCAUAAUUCUUAUUCAUGCAUGUUUCAUGUAGCAAAAAAUGACCUCAAUAUCAUCCCCAUAGCAAUACACAUAUUUUUAUAAUUUAAAAGAAUACAUAUAAUUUAUAUAAAUUUAAUUUCUUAUGGAUAUUAAACAAAAAUAGUGUACGUAAUUUAGCUCUUUUUAAUGAACUUGGCUAAUUUAGAUUAUUUGAUUAUGGUGAUGCCGUCAAGCUGUUGGAAUGUUUAAGGUCAUAUAGGUGAAUAGGCGUUUGUUUUUUGUUUUUCAUUGUGUUUUUUUCUUAUAGUUAUGUCCAUAUUAUUUUGCACCCUCUUCCUCUUUCCUUCAUUUCUUCCUUCCUGUGGUUUUGCUUUUUUAGGUCUUUCAAGUAUUCCCUUGGAACGUAUCAUUUCCUGCUGCCAUUUGUGUUUCAUUUUGUUUUUAUCUAACGUCUGUUUCACGUAUCCUGUUUGGAUGAGGCUGGCUUGCGCGACUAUGAACAAAACACGUGGGCAUCACGACAUCUCUUUGCUGCUUCAUCCAUGUGGGUCCAAGCCGACCAAGUUUCCUAAACACCUGACUUCCGAGCCACCGAGGGCGUCAACACUGGCUCUUAUCUUUUGGUUACUUUUCAAGACCUAGCACAAUGCCUCACAUAGAGCAGCCACCCCAGAUUGUCGGUUGACCAACUAUCCUUUUUAUUUUCUGUGUGGGAAUGAAUGAGAAGAAAUACCAUCUGCAUAAACCUGUGACAUUCUGCAAUGUGCUUUCAGGGCAUGUGAAAGAAAGACACGUGCUGGCAACAGACAAUAGACGUGGCUUUCAGGAGCACACACACGCCGUUGUUCAAAGACAGCUUCCCUGUAGCCCCUGCCUGUAGGACUGCACUCCAUGUACACAAGUUCCCAAACGGAGUGUUCUGCUAGAGCAGUUUAUUUUCAUGAAUCGGACACAGGACACAUAAAUGCACUGUGAUAGAAGGAAAGAACGGCACUCAAAGUUCACCUGCAGCUUCACCAAUAAACACUUUGGCUUAGAAAACUCUCCAUUUGGCGGGACUCUUUCCUCCUAACCUGUAAAUAAGGGGCAGUCAAGGCCUGCCAGCUACUUUCCCGGAUGAGUCUUUGCUGGAAAGGGGACCUGCGCCGGCUCUCCAGGGACACCAGAAGCGGAGCUCGCGGACCCCCCAGUCAGAGACAAUUCAUCUUUCCUUAAGUUGGAAAGGAGAUUUCGAGUUCUAUGAUCUACCUCUGAUGGUCUAAAGUACGUCUCUAAGGAAAUGGAUGCAGUAAGGUUACUUUGUAACUUUGUCCAUGUUAGACACCAAGUACAGGUGGGGUACAUGAACCAGUCACACACACACAUACAUACACACACACACACACGUGCGCGCGCACACACACACGUGCACACAGGUGACCACAGACAUCCACAUGCCACAUACAUAUUUUCCUGAACCUCACAGACAUCGUGGCAAGCUCACACCUAAAUAUGUGAACAUUUACCUUCUAAGAAAAAAACACACUCUCCCACAUAAUCGAUGUGUAAUUUCAACAGAAAAGGAAGUUAAUAUUAUUUAAAUCGUAUCAUAAAAUAUACAGAAUAUUGGGAAUAUUCACUUUUCCCCAACUGUCCAUAUGUCCUUUAUAGCUGUUUUAAUGUAUAAAACAUAACUAGGAUAUAAAAUUACUUUUUCCUUUAUUAUUCUAAAGAAUUUCUUCCACAACUGCUGCUUUCUCACAUUAUCACCUCAUAGCUCUUUCUUGAAUGUUGUGUUCAAAAAUACUUUUUAAAAAUAACUUUGAGAUUCUGACCUUUAUUACUGAAGAAGUACAUAAUAAUAAAAUAUUUUAUUUUUCUACUUUGCAAAGCAAGUUUUAAAGUAGUGAAUUUUAGAAAGAAGAGCAUGUAUGAAAUAUUAUGAGAGCUAUGGGAAAAACUGAAGUUAUUAAAAGGUAAUUGUGUUUAUUAGGCAAACAUUGUUAACUAGAGAAUCUGAUAGGAGAAUUUCUCCCUCUUCUUUUAUUUAUUUUCUUCCUCGUCUCCUUAUUUCCUUUCUUAAUUAUCUAGCCUGCCUGCCUCUUUUCCUCCCUCCCUCCCUCCUCCCUCCCACUGUUACAAACUCAUGAACGGGCGAGGCUGUUUUGUCUACAGGUCACUCAGAUAAGUCCUCAUGAAACAGGAAGCCCUUUUCAAGCACUCUCCUAUGGCCUCCCUCCCAGCCUCCACCACCAGCACUGCUGUCUUCUUUAUCCACUCCCAUCACUUAGCUCUGAUCCCAAUCAUUUAGGCUGAUACAUCUCUAUAUUAGCCAUAAAUGCUGAAUAAGACUCCACAAGCAUAACUGUGUAUUGUAAUGAGGGGAAAGGGGGUGGCAAUGCACGGGUUUCCGAGUUGGAAUUGAAGUCCAGAGCUGUCAUUCACUGGCUGCGACCUCGGUCAAGUCAUUUAAGCCAUGGAUCCUCAGUCUCCUUAGUUGUAAAAUCGUAUGAAUAAUCCCUUUCUACCUAAAAUGAAGGGCCGGUGAGGAUACAUUAGAUUGGUUAUGGGAAAGUACUCUUUCAUGUUUCUUUUAAAUUUUAUUUUUUGAAUAUGAGAUACAUUUGCAUCAUUCAAAAAUAAAGAAACAAAUUAAUAAAUGAAUGAACAAGAACAACGAAAACAUUUCCCUCUCAACCUGCCUUUUCCCUUAGUAACCCCCAUACAUAUUUUUUAGUGUUUUUGUCUAUCCUAGAUUUUUUAUGCAAAUACAAGCAAAUACAUAUGUGUGUGUGAAAUCAUAGUUUUGCUUAUCUUCUGUAUCUUGCUUUUUUCUUUAACAAAAUCUUCCUAAAAUCUUUCUGCAUCGGUUCAGAGUGCGUCUUCACUCUCCACAUAGCUGCAUAGUAAGUGAAGGCACUUCGAUUGAAUACCAUAAAGCAUAACACAGAUGUAAAUCAGGUCACUUCCGCCUUUGUCUUUUAUGGCGAGGCAAGUGUGCCUUGGGUUCUUUAUGAAUAAUAAUGAGGGUGGCCCUGGUUUGAAGGGCUGGUGCUUCUUGCCAGCCGCUGCACUGCAGAUUUUACAAGCAUUAGCGUCUAUAAUCCUCAACAACCCUAUGACGUGGGAAACACUGCCACUGUUUUACAGAUGAAAAUCCCAGGUUUUGAGGGGUGAGUGUAGAAUUUGUGUAUGUUUUCAAAGUUGUACUGUGAAGCCCUUUCGCUCUUCUUCCCUGUUGGGCGCGAUGACGUCCGAAUCCCACCUUGAUCUGCACAGCGUUGCUGCACUGUACGCCCACCAAAUGUACCUUCACCUUCUUCAAACCAGAUACCCCUGUCCUCCUGGAGACCCUCAACAACUUCUCCUGGGCUCUGUCAACAGCCCCCUGUCCUCCAGGCACUGGCGUUAGCUCCUCCAAUCCACACUUCACACUGGGAAAUCAGACCCUGUCUCCUCUUUGCUCAAACUCACCCGUAGUCUCUCACCAUCUACAGAGCUCAACUGAAACUCACCAGGCCCACCCUGCCCUCCCUCCCACUUCCCACUCCCAAACCUCGGGCCUUUCUUGAUGCUGGUACCACAUCUGGACUGUCCUUGUCUAAGUCAAAAGAUGUCCUUGGAGCCAGCCUGGGAGGUAACUCUGCAGCCCUCCGUGCCUUCUCCAGGAACACACAGAUUCCCCCUUUGGGGUGGUUUCAUCCUCAUGACUUUGUAGCUCCUCCUCCAGCUGUUCUCUUGUUGUGGUUGCUGUUAUGCCCUCACCUUUAUCAAAUGGCUCAACAAGAACAGCUUUUCUGCAGAAUUCUCUGAUUCCAUUUCUAUAUAACAUCUGGCAUGUAGUAGUUGACUCAAACAUACGUUAUACAAAUGCACAAAAGAAAAUAUUUUUUGUGUAUGGAUGGGGUAUUUGAAAUAAUUCACUUAUAAUGCAUUUUAUUUAAAAGGAUAGGCAUUUACUUCAUUUAGAUGUGUGUUAAAUUUUAUCCCUUCACUUGCACCCACAAACAACAACAAAUGAGAAACUCAAAAAAACAGGCGACUUCACAUUGGUGGGAUGUGUGUGUAGACUUAUGAGGCACCUGUAGAUCUAUGAGUAACUUUGCAGAACGGUGUGGGCUCAACAGGAGGAGGAAGCACAGGCAUCCCAGAGGCUCCAGGUUGGAGGGGUGUGCGGUAAAAAAGAUGGAAGGUUGCAUGAUGAGGGUGUGCAU